rnacentral:misc_RNA from 1 species
AGGAUUGUAUUAUGGGCAAGAGGUUGGAAAUGGAACAAGCAUGGGACCAUCAAGGGUACUUCCAGACCAUGCCAGUCUAUUUGUAAAGGGAUUGGCUCAAAAAGGCUCUCCCCCAUGGCGAGACGAUGACAAAGAUGGACAUUACAUGUUUUCUCUUGGGGAGAAUUUAACCUCUCGCUGUAAUUACACUUAAUCACCAUUGAAUAGGCUUUUACAUUAUAAUAAUGUAACCUGCUAUGCUGCAUAUUAAGCUUCACAAACCAAUUGCCUGUUAUUACAUAAAUGAUAUUGCCUUUUCCAUUUUAAUUAUUAUGUCUGUUUUUUCCUUACAGUCUAGGUUUAUUGAAAUUUAAGUUUGAAGUUUUUCAAGACAAUUUUUGUAAUUUUGGUGUUAUAUAUGUGUGUAAACUAAGUUAAUAUGUUUUAAAGCAUCACAUACUCUGCCCUGUCCUGCGAAACUGCACUAGUUUGCCCAUGAAACUAUAUACUGCCUAGCUAGUGGCAUAUUUAUAUAUAUAAAAGGAGGAGGAGGAGAACAAUGGACAACAACAAUUACAACAACUUUCAUUUCUUUCAAAACACUAUUUUUUCUAAUUACUUACUAUCUUUUCACUGGCUUUGUACACAAUUCUAACUAAAUUUAAAAGCUUUGAAGCUUAUUAGUCUUGUUAUUUUGGGUCUUCAUGUGCUUUAAUUUUAAUUUACAAGUUUUCCUUAUGCUCCUUUGCUUGUGUACCUGCAGACAAGAUCCAGAGGAAAAUUGGUGAAGGUUAGUAAUACUUUCAAACAAGAAACCUACCAGAUUCUUUAUAACUGUUGCCUUUUUUCUCUCUAGCUUCUUUCUGUCUAUGGAAGAAAUUAUGUCCUAAUGGUAUAUAUUCACUCUUGGCAUGCAUUUUUAAAUUCUUAUUAUUCCACAGGCACCUUUGGCCAGGUUUUGGAAUGUUGGGAUAGGGAAGCAAGAGAGCUGGUUGCCGUAAAAGUUGUACGAAGUACAAAGAAAUAUCGUGAAGCAGCAAUGUUGGAAAUUGAUGUGCUCCACCUGCUGGGAAAGUAUGACAGAAAUGGCAGU